ensembl:misc_RNA 7SK 7SK RNA
GGGUCCAUGUGCUCCCCCUUGCUCAGGCCAGCUCCAUGUGUGUCCCUUCCGAAGCUGUGCCCUCGGUUGAAGAGGACGACCUUCCUCAAAUAGAGGAGGACUGGUCUUCGGUCAAGGGUAUACUAGUAGCUGUGCUCCCCUGCUAGAAACUCCAAACAACCUCUCAAGGUCAAUUUUAAAAUGAAUUCUUAAAGUUGCUUUAAUUUACAUCUUCCUCACUGCUAGGGGAGAUAAAAGUUUUGGA